rnacentral:sRNA from 1 species
UUUUUUUUUGCGGGAAAAAAGUUUGGCGGAAAAUUUUUUUUGGCGGGAAAAAAAAAUUUGACGCCAAAAAAAUGACGGGAAAAGUUCAAUUUUCAAUUACAUGUUUCUAUUAGAUGAGGGUAAUUUGGUCAUUUUGUUCCAGAAAAAGAGUAUUUUUAAAAAUGGACGACAUAAAAGGGUAUUGUUACAAAAGGGUAGUGAAAAAAGGGUAGUUUUGCAAAUCUUCUAAACAAAAAAUGGUU